rnacentral:tRNA from 1 species
CAGGAGAAAAGGGAUUUGAACCCUUAACCUGU